rnacentral:rRNA from 1 species
UACGAAGGGGGCUAGCGUUGCUCGGAAUUACUGGGCGUAAAGCGCACGUAGGCGGCUUUCUAAGUCGGGGGUGAAAUCCUGGAGCUCAACUCCAGAACUGCCUUCGAUACUGGAAAGCUCGAGUCCGGGAGAGGUGAGUGGAACUGCGAGUGUAGAGGUGAAAAUUCGUAGAUAUUCGCAAGAACACCAGUGGCGAAGGCGGCUCACUGGCCCGGUACUGACGCUGAGGUGCGAAAGCGUGGGGAGCAAACAGGG